CUAGCACACUUGGCAAAACCCACCUUCUGUGGGCAGAAGCUCUGAGCAGCCUAGCUGGCCUUGACCACCCCAUCCUACAGAGCUGGAUGGCAGACCCAGGUGUCCAUUUUAGAGCCUCAUGGCUAUGCAGAGAAACGUGUGACCCUGAGCUUGCUGGCUUAUUGAGCGUAGUUCUGACCCUGAACAGAAAUGGAUUUUGUGUCACUCCAGCUCAUCUGGAAUCAGUGUUCUCGAAGCUCCGUGAACACAAAACUCCAGUGGGUCCCCAGAGGUACAGGAGCUCUGCGAGACUCAGAAGGCCCACUCAUCUCCAUGGCAACCUGGAGGCAGAGACAAUUACUUUCUACCCUGCAGAGGAAGAAAGCAAAGCUCUGAGAACCGCUGCAGCCUGCCCGCAUCUCUAUCUGCCAAGUGGCUCAGCCGGGAGCCCUGGACCAUCAGACCAUGGUCACCACGUCUCCAUUCUCCCACCUGCAGGGGAGAACACACCUGAUCCCUUGGCCUCUGUCUGAUGACCUUGGGCUCCUUUUGGACUCACAUGUGCAUUUGGGAAGGUGUCUUAUGAGCAACUGG